GGGGAAUAUUGCGCAAUGGGCGAAAGCCUGACGCAGCGACGCAGCGUGAGGGACGAAGGCCUUCGGGUUGUAAACCUCUUUCAGCGGGGACGAAGCGAAAGUGACGGUACCCGCAGAAGAAGCACCGGCUAACUACGUGCCAGCAGCCGCGGUAAUACGUAGGGUGCAAGCAUUGUCCGGAUUUAUUGGGCGUAAAGAGCUCGUAGGCGGCUUGUCACGUCGGAUGUGAAAACUCGGGGCUCAACCCCGAGCCUGCAUUCGAUACGGGCUAGCUAGAGUGUUGCAGGGGAGACUGGAAUUCCUGGUGUAGCGGUGAAAUGCGCAGAUAUCAGGAGGAACACCGGUGGCGAAGGCGGGUCUCUGGGCAACUACUGACGCUGAGGAGCGAAAGCGUGGGGAGCGAAC
rnacentral:rRNA from 1 species